rnacentral:pre_miRNA from 9 species
UCGCGAUAGCGUAAAAGUGAACUCAAAUUUGUUUGCAGUUGGAACGUUUGCCUACGUUUGCCGUUAGGGGCGCUGUUCUAACUGCAAACAAAGAGCUAACUUUUACGUUAUCGA